rnacentral:rRNA from 1 species
UACGGGGGGGGCAAGCGUUGUUCGGAAUUACUGGGCGUAAAGGGCUCGUAGGUGGCCAACUAAGUCAGACGUGAAAUCCCUCAGCUUAACUGGGGAACUGCGUCUGAUACUGGAUGGCUUGAGUUUGGGAGAGGGAUGCGGAAUUCCAGGUGUAGCGGUGAAAUGCGUAGAUAUCUGGAGGAACACCGGUGGCGAAGGCGGCAUCCUGGACCAACACUGACACUGAUGAGCGAAAGCGUGGGGAGCGAUCCGG